rnacentral:rRNA from 1 species
CACGUAGGGCGCAAGCGUUGUCCGGAAUUAUUGGGCGUAAAGAGCUCGUAGGCGGUCUGUUGCGUCCGCUGUGAAAACUCGGGGCUUAACCCCGAGCCUGCAGUGGAUACGGGCAGACUAGAGGUAGGUAGGGGAGAAUGGAAUUCCCGGUGUAGCGGUGAAAUGCGCAGAUAUCAGGAGGAACACCUGUGGCGAAAGCGGCUCACUGGACCAUAACUGACGCUGAUGCACGAAAGCUAGGGGAGCAAACAGG